CAUCUUCCUGAAUUCAAAUCUGACUUCAGUUACUUACCAGCUGUGUGACCCUCAGUUUUUUCAUCUGUAAAAUAAGCUAGAAAAAAAAAGAAAGGUGAAUCAUUUCAGUAUCUCUGCCAAGAAAACCCCAAGUUGAGUUGUGAAGAGUUGGUCAUGACUGAAACAACUCAGCAGCAGCAGCAACAACAACACAACAACAGCAAACAACAGCACUGGUUGUUCUCCUUUAUUCAGCAAAUUUAUUUAUAUUUGCUCUGAAGAGCCUCCAAAACACUGAGUUGGUUCUAGUAAUGUGUGUAUCAACCUCAUUGUCGAUUUGUACACCCUUGGAAAGUAUACUGUCAAGUUCCUCAUUUGUAAAAUGAAUUGAAGAAGGAAAUGGAAAACCAUUCCAGUAUCUGCCAAGAAAACGCCAAAUGGAGUCAUAAAGAGUUGGACAUGACUGAAAUGACUCAAUGAAAGAAUACAAGUUUUUGAAGAGUUCAAAUUCUUUUUUUUUCUCAAUAGUAUUUUAUUUUUUUUUCAAAUACACAUAAAGAUAAUUGUAAACAUUCAUUUCUGUAAGAUUUUGUGUUCCAAUUUUUUUCUCUUCUUCUAUCCCACCACCUUCCUCCUCCAAAUAGUAAGCAAUCCAAUAUAGAUCAAACAUGUACGAUCCUUCUAAACAUAAUUUGGUAUCUGUCAUGUUGUACAAGAAAAACCAGACCAAAAGGAGAAAAGCUAUUAGAAAGAAAAAGUAAACAAACAAACAAUAAAUGAAUAGUCCAUAGUUCUCCCUCUGGAUGCUGAUGGCAUUUUCCAUUCCGAGUCUAUUGGAAUUAUCUUGAAUCUCUGCAUUUCUGAGAAGAGCUAAGUCAAUCAUAAUUAAUCAUCGCAUAAUUUUACUGUUCUUAUCUACAAUGUUUGCUUGAUUUUGCUCACAUUAUCUAGCAGCAGUUUGUAUAGUCUUUUCUAGUCUCUUCAUUUCUUAUAGAACAUUACAUUCAUUAUUUAGCCAUUCCCCAACAUAUGGGCAUCCCCUCAAUUUCUAAUUCCUUGUCACUACAAAAAGAGCUUGUACAUGUGGGUCAUUUUCUCUCUUCUAUGAUCUUUUUAGGAUACAGAUGCUGUAGAGACAUUGCUGGAU